AGAUUUUAUAUUUAAGAAAAUCUGAGCAUCAUUCAAAAUAACUGUUAACAUGUUUGUCCACUAAACAUGUUUUGUCAAUGUUUUAAACUUUAUAGAAAUAUUUUUUAUUUUUUAUUAAUGACCAAGUAUAAAGAACAAUGCAUAGUGUGAAAACGCGGAUUAUAUAAAAGUAUAUAAUAAAGUGCGAGCAGAGGAUCAAUCAAACUUGGGCUGGAAUGAUUGUAGUGCAUCAAAUUGAUCUUGGAAAUCGUAGUUUACAUCUACAGCAGCAUAUGCUACAGCAGUGACAACGCCAAAGAAAAGGACUACAUUUCCCAGAAUGCACCUGCACCCACUCAUCUGCCCCUUCAGGUGCGACCGCUUCACCUAUGGGCUUGACGGGAAAAUUCAAAAUCGCGAACCGUUACAGCCUGGACGGUGUCUUUGUUUGCUUGCACAUCAACAGUAAGAGGUCAUGUACACUGUGGUCAACUUUGUGGACGCUGAAGAGGUUUCUGGGUAAAGAUGAUAGAAAUAUAAUGAAGUAACAGUGGAAGCUAAAACAUCAGACUGAUCCAGACACUGAAGAAAUUGAUGUCACUGCAAUCUGGCCAAAAUGAUACAACUAUAUUGAAGUAGCCUACUGUAAUAAAGCUGCAGAACGUCACAGGGACUCUGAGGACAUCAACACAGAAAAUCAAGGGUCCAAAGAGAUGUCUGUCCAGAUGAGGGUGCAUCAACGUUACCUUUGCUGACAAGUAUAUGCUUUUAGCAGUUAACUUAACUCAAACCAUUUAAGGAAAUCGGUUGCCUUAAACCAGUGGUUCUCAAACUUUUUC